GAAAAGGGUUUUCCCAUAAAAAAUUUUUCGAAUUUUUUAUUGCAUUUUUUCCCCGGGGGGAAAAAAAAAAAACAAAAAAAAAAUUUUUUUUGAAAAAGGGGGGGGGGGGGGGCCCCCCCCCCCCCCUUU